GCCCAAGAGAUCGGGAUAACACCUGGAAACAGAUGCUAAUACCGGAUAAUAACAGAUGAUGCCUAUCAACUGUUUAAAAGAUGGUUCUGCUAUCACUCUUGGAUGGACCUGCGGUGCAUUAGCUAGUUGGUAGGGUAACGGCCUACCAAGGCGAUGAUGCAUAGCCGAGUUGAGAGACUGAUCGGCCACAUUGGGACUGAGACACGGCCCAAACUCCUACGGGAGGCAGCAGCA
rnacentral:rRNA from 1 species